AAGAAAGAAAAGGGUCAACCAUUUAAAGGUAUUUGGUUUAGUAUGUUACAAACAUAUACCGGAUUCUACUAGUGUAACACCAUAAACCCCAAAAUGCAAAAUAAAGCAAAUAUACAACAACUACACACAUGUGGUGUCACUCAAAACACAAUAGAAACCUGCUCCGUAAUACGGGUUAUUCAAAACAUGCAUUAAAUUGAACACAUUCCAUCAUAUGCCCUCCGUUACAUAGGCUCAUCG
rnacentral:lncRNA from 1 species